AACGAACGCUGGCGGCAUGCCUAACACAUGCAAGUCGAACGAUACCUUCGGGUCUAGUGGCGCACGGUUGCGUAACGCGUGGGAACCUGCCCUUAGGUUCGGAAUAACUCCCCGAAAGGGGUGCUAAUACCGGAUAAUGUCUUCGGACCAAAGAUUUAUCGCCUUUGGAUGGGCCGGCGUUAGAUUAGCUAGUUGGUAGGGUAACAGCCUACCAAGGCGCGGAUCGAUAGCUGGUCUGAGAGGAUGAUCAGCCACACUGGGACUGAGACACGGCCCAGACAGCUGCGGGAGGCAGCAGGGGGGAAUGUUGGACAAUGGGCGGAAGCCUGAUACAGCCAUGCCGCUUGGAGGAUGAAGGCUUUCGGGUUGUAAACUGCUUUUGUACGGAACGAAAAGACUUCUCUUAAUACCGGAGGGUCAUGACGGUACCGUAAGAAUAAGAACCGGCUAACUACGUG
rnacentral:rRNA from 1 species